UACGUAGGGACCAAGCGUUGUUCGGAUUUACUGGGCGUAAAGGGCGCGUAGGCGGCAAUUCAAGUCAUCUGUGAAAUCUCCGGGCUUAACUCGGAACGGUCAGAUGAUACUGCUUUGCUAGAGUGCGGAAGGGGCAAUCGGAAUUCUUGGUGUAGCGGUGAAAUGCGUAGAUAUCGGGAGGAACACCAGUGGCGAAGGCGACUAUCUGGGCUGCAACUGACGCUGAGGCGCGAAGGCUAGGGUAGCAAACAGG
rnacentral:rRNA from 1 species